rnacentral:rRNA from 1 species
UACGAAGGGGGCUAGCGUUGUUCGGAAUUACUGGGCGUAAAGCGCACGUAGGCGGAUAUUUAAGUCAGGGGUGAAAUCCCAGAGCUCAACUCUGGAACUGCCUUUGAUACUGGGUAUCUUGAGUAUGGAAGAGGUAAGUGGAAUUGCGAGUGUAGAGGUGAAAUUCGUAGAUAUUCGCAGGAACACCAGUGGCGAAGGCGGC